rnacentral:rRNA from 1 species
UACGUAGGGUGCAAGCGUUGUCCGGAAUUAUAGGGCGUAAAGAGCUCGUAGGCGGUGUGUCGCGUCGGCUGUGAAAACCUGGGGCUCAACCCUGGGCUUGCAGCUGAUACGGGCAGACUGGAGUUCGGCAGGGGAGACUGGAAUUCCUGGUGUAGCGGUGAAAUGCGCAGAUAUCAGGAGGAACACCGGUGGCGAAGGCGGGUCUCUGGGCCGAUACUGACGCUGAGGAGCGAAAGCGUGGGGAGCGAACAGG